UAAACAUACGUCGCAUUAUCUCUGAAAAACCAAACUCAAACUGAACACGGAAGACAACAGUCGCAAAAAUAAAUUUCCAAUAUUUGGAUUAAGUUGGAUUGUUUAGAAGAUAAUAAUAAGAUUUAUGCCAAAGCAGAAGUUUGUCGAGAUAUAACAAUCGUGUGAAGAUUUCAACGCCGUCGUUGGAUAAAAAAGUCAGACUAACGUGACUGUUUCAUCAGAUUAAAACAAAAAAAACACAUGGGGCUUGAACGUAAAUACUAUUGCAUUCCGGGAACCAUCCCACUGGGUUGUAUGUAUAUAGUGGUGCUUUCAUUAUCAGCAGCUGAUUUUAAACCAUCCCUUUUACGACAAGCACUAUAUGGCGAAACACUGUUAAUUGAAUGCAAUGCAACUGUGGACAUAACUUUUAAAUUCACCAGUUUAUGGAUGGAUAGUACAAUAAAUAUAGGCCAUUGUGAAAACAAUGUCCACAUGUGUUACAUAGAGAAAGGUGUAAGCAACGACAUUUACCGAAUAACACACACUGGUCAUGGCGGACGUCUACGUGUUUUGCCUUAUAAUGAAACUUGCGGGACUUAUACAUGUUGUGAAUCAUUCAAUCCCAGCCAAUGCACUAGUACGGCAGCAAGAUGUCCGCAUAUAGGCUUAACUACAGUCUCGCCAAGUUCAGAGAGUGUACUUAUCGAAAGCACAACGCAAGAAGAAGUCAUCUACGAUAGCUAUCAAUUGAGUGCACGACAUGCUUUUCCAAUGAUAGCUUUUCCAACGCUUGUAGCAGUCGUGAUAAUAUUGGACCUGAAAAUGAAAAAAAACCAAUGCAGACAGCCUCGAUGGUGUCGAUAACAAAUCAUCAUGACCUUUUAUAAUAUGAAAAAACUAACAUAUUAUGGAUAUUAUCCCGUGAGACCGGCUUAACUUUAUAACGCUCAGUGCUUUAGCUAUUUCGUCGCUAUCCUAUCAAUAAGCGUGUUCAGUGUAUGAUUAUCAUUUUCGACGUUUAGAUCAGGAUCGAGUGUAUGAUUGAUUUUAUUGCGGCACGUUUACAACAUUUCUUUGAACAGUACAUCCUCUCAGUAAAAAUCGCUGGCAUGUUAAAAAUUACGCAUCAAUGAAUAUUUCCAAAACUCAUUUUGCGUGCCACGAAUAGUCAAAAUAUGCUCGAUCUGGUCGCAUCAGACUACAUGUAAGUCAUAUUGAUAUGCUCGAUCUGGUCGCAUCAGACUACAUGUAAGUCAUAUUGCACGACUAUUUUUUUUCAAGAUAUUUUUGUUUUAUAUGUACGUGUAACUCUGUGGGAAUAAGGCCUCGGAUUAUGAUCAAGAAUGCUUCUCUGUUUUUUUACAUACUUAUUUAAAUGUCAACGCUUCUCUUAAAAUAGAAACAAUGAAUGCGAUAGCAAUUUAACGUAAUAUUUUAACACAAUAAACAAUGAAAUAACAUCACACAUUAAUGUAAAUUUUAAGUUUGUCGAAAAUAAAUUAAUUUUAGAAGUAAUACAUAAAUCAAUAUAUAAAUAUCAAAUUCGGUGUAUCUCUUCAUUACUGCAUGGUACUCGCAAAUAUGAAAAAAUCAAUACCAAACAUACAUUAAACAUACAUAUUCAUUUUCUGAGCUCUACAAAAGUCGAACAAGUUUACAUAUUUGACUUGAGAUUCCUGUGAACAUAAGAGCUAGGUCUAGUAAUUAAAGUUCUAUCAUUUUUGUGUUAUCUCCCAAAAUGUGUUUGUCUAUAAAUGUAUGUCACUGCGAAACAAAAGUAGUUGUUACUUUAAACCGUUCGAGUUGAUCUUUUUUUAGACCCGAUUUUAAGACUAGACUUUAAAGCGGGUAUAUACGAUUUUUAUAUGUGCUAAAUUGUAAAAUAUUGAUACAAAUAUGUUAUAAUAACACACAAUUUGCAAGAAAAAUGAUACAUUUAAGACGAAUUUCAUAAAAUACAGCAAAUACAAAUUAGCGCCCCGAGCCGAUUGUGACGAAGAUAAUUCGUAAUUAUUUUCCUACAAUAACCGAUGCA